rnacentral:rRNA from 1 species
GAUGAACGCUAGCGGCAGGCUUAAUACAUGCAAGUCGAGGGGUCAGCAAUGACACCGGCGGACGGGCGCGUAACGCGUAUGCAACCUACCUACAUCAGGGGAUAGCCCUAGGAAACUGGGAUUAACACCGCAUAAUAGUAUUGAUGGCAUCAUUGAUAUUUGAAAUAUUUAUAGGAUGUAGAUGGGCAUGCGUAAGAUUAGCUAGUUGGUAAGGUAACGGCUUACCAAGGCUACGAUCUUUAGGGGCUCUGAGAGGAGUAUCCCCCACACUGGCACUGAGAUACGGGCCAGACUCCUACGGGAGGCAGCAGUAGGAAAUAUUGGGCAAUGGAGGCAACUCUGACCCAGCCAUGCCGCGUGCAGGAAGACGGCCCUCUGGGUUGUAAACUGCUUUUGAAUGGGAAGAAUGUGAUGUUUGCGAGCAUUAAUGACGGUACCAUUAGAAUAAGCCACAGCUAACUACGUGCCAGCAGCCGCCGUAACAC